GGAAGGAUCAUUAUUGAAUAAACUUGAACAGGCUGUUGCUGGUUCUUUCUUCUAAGGGAGGGGCAUGUGCACGCUUGUCAUCUUUAUCUCUCCCCAACUGUGCACAUACUUGUAGGCCUGGAGUAAAUCUUGUUUUUUGAUCUGAUGUAUGUUCAGAUUGAGUUUUUUGAGGAUUGCUGUGCCUUUUCUUUUCGACAAGUCCAGCUCUGCCUUGUAUUUCCAGGUCUAUGUUAUUUUUACAAUCACUAAGAAUGUAUUAGAAUGUUGUUGUAAUUGUGGGCAAUAUACAACUUUCAGCAACGGAUCUCUUGGCUCUCGCAUCGAUGAAGAACGCAGCGAAAUGCGAUAAGUAAUGUGAAUUGCAGAAUUCAGUGAAUCAUCGAAUCUUUGAACGCAUCUUGCGCUCCUUGGUAUUCCUAGGAGCAUGCCUGUUUGAGUGUCAUUCAAGUUCCUCAACCACAUUGAUUUGUUUCAUUGGUGUGGCAUUGGAUUUGGGGGUUUUUGCAGGCUUUUGAAAAAUGAAGUCACUGCUCCCCUGAAAAGUAUUAGUGGUAUCUGAGUAGACUGCUACUAUGGGCAUGAUAAAUUAUCUAUGCUCUUGGGUACACUGCAUUAAAACAGAUUAUGCCGCUUCUAACCAAAUGAAUUGUUUGACAAAUUUGACCUCAAAUCAGGUAGGACUACCCGCUGAACUUAAGCAUAUCAAUAAGCGGAGGAAAAGAAACUAACAAGGAUUCCCUUAGUAACUGCGAGUGAAGUGGGAAGAGCUCAAAUUUGAAAUCUGGCAGUUUUUGACUGUCCGAGUUGUAAUCUAGAGAAGUGUUACCUGUGCUGGACCGUGUACAAGUCUCCUGGAAUGGAGCAUCAUAGAGGGUGAGAAUCCCGUCUUUGACAUGGACUACCAGUAUAUUGGGGUGUGCUCUCAAAGAGUCGAGUUGUUUGGGAAUGCAGCUCAAAAUGGGUGGUAAAUGCCAUCUAAAGCUAAAUAUUGGCGAGAGACCGAUAGCGAACAAGUACCGUGAGGGAAAGAUGAAAAGAACUUUGGAAAGAGAGUUAAACAGUACGUGAAAUUGCUGAAAGGGAAACGCUUGAAGUCAGUCACAUUAGCUAGAAAUCAGCCUUGCUUUUGCUUGGUGUACUUUCUGGUUGAUGGGUCAGCAUCAAUUUUGACCAUUGGAUAAAGUCAUUGGGAAUGUGGCAUCUUUUUGGAUGUGUUUAUAGCCCAUUGUCGUAUACAUUGGUUGGGAUUGAGGCACUCAGCAUGCUGCAAGGGCCGGGUUUCGACCACGUUCAUGCUUAGGAUGCUGGCAUAAUGGCUUUAAUCGACCCGUCUUGAAACACGGACCAAGGAGUCUAACAUGCCUGCGAGUGUUUGGGUGGAAAACCCAUGCGCGCAAUGAAAGUGAAAGUUGAGAUCCCUGUAAAGGGGAGCAUUGACGCCCAGACCAGAGCUUUUGUGAAGGAUCUGCGGUAGAGCAUGUAUGUUGGGACCCGAAAGAUGGUGAACUAUGCCUGAAUAGGGUGAAGCCAGAGGAAACUCUGGUGGAGGCUCGUAGCGAUUCUGACGUGCAAAUCGAUCGUCAAAUUUGGGUAUAGGGGCGAAAGACUAAUCGAACCAUCUAGUAGCUGGUUCCUGC
rnacentral:misc_RNA from 1 species